AUUGAACGCUGGCGGCAGGCUUAACACAUGCAAGUCGAGGGGUAGAAGUUGCUUGCAACUUUGAGACCGGCGCACGGGUGCGUAACGCGUAUGCAACCUACCUUUUACAGAGGGAUAGCCCAGAGAAAUUUGGAUUAAUACCUCAUAGUAUAUAACCUUCGCAUGUUGGUUAUAUUAAAGUUCCAACGGUAAAAGAUGGGCAUGCGUCCUAUUAGCUAGUUGGUGUGGUAACGGCACACCAAGGCGACGAUAGGUAGGGGUCCUGAGAGGGAGAUCCCCCAAACUGGUACUGAGACACGGACCAGACUCCUACGGGAGGCAGCAGUGAGGAAUAUUGGACAAUGGGCGCAAGCCUGAUCCAGCCAUGCCGCGUGCAGGAAGAAGCAUCUAUGGUGUGUAAACUGCUUUUGUACGGGAAGAAACACUCCCUCGUGAGGGAGCUUGACGGUACCGUAAGAAUAAGGAUCGGCUAACUCCGUGCCAGCAGCCGCCGUAACAC
rnacentral:rRNA from 1 species